CCAGCUUGUACUGGUUCAGAAAAAAUAUUGCAAUCCAGGCUAAGGACAGGUCUCAUCCUAUCUGGGUUGUUUCCCUUUGCUUCCUGUGCCACAAGCCCUUGUAGAGAACAUUGUGUCCAGUACAUCUGCUGUGCAACAGAACUGUGUGGUUGUAGAGCACGUUUUUACGUAAGAGGAGGUGGUGAACUAAAGUUUUCAGAAUCCCUAUUGAGCACAAGAAUAUUUUUCAUAUUCAAGUGACUGGAUGAGUUUCCUCAGUGUUUAACGUUUGCUGUUAGAACACCAGUGUUUAAGAGAACCCCGGUGAAGAUGGAGGGAAAAGUCUGUUUACUUUACAUGUAUAGAUGGGAUAUUUGUUUAUUGUCAGGUCUGGUUGUAAUUUAAGUAAUUGUUUAUUAGUGUGUGGCUGAUUUCCAAGGUCUAGCAACUAACAUUUGAGUGAGCAGAGUGAGUCGUUAGAGUGGGAUAGGAGCAGCAGCAAAGAGCAGUGGAAUGUAGGGCAAGUGAGUGAAACUGAGUGGAAAAAAAAAAUCUCAGUGAGACCGAGUCAGCGUUGGCAGCCUAUCUGCUGAUUGUGUGCUCUUUCUUUUCUUUUUUUUCCUCAUUUUCCAUUUACUUUUACUUCUUUGGAGCAUGUGAGAGCUCCACCCCCUCCUUGAAAAUCCCGACUUGGUAUCGUCCGACCAGCUGACAGGCCCAAAAAAACCCCUCCCUGUGCUGCUGUGAGUGCCAAUCAAAAAAGAGUGCUCAGCAGGGAUUACCUUGAGUGACCCCGCGUAGAUUAGUGCGUGCAUGUGAGAUGGACGAUUCUUUGGGCGGCUUAAGCGGCCUGAUGACACGCUUUCCUGGAAUAUGUGCGGCCGCACUGCGGCCCAGCAGCCCUUCUAAGGAGCUCUGCAAUGGUGCCGUCCUGCCCCUCCACUGCUUCCAGUCCCAUGGAGGCACUGGAGGCUAAAUUCCCACUUGGAACACGAGUUAGCUCUGGCGCUCGGCGGAGGAAAGGGCUUUUUGUUGCCAGCAAAUGAGUCUGCAGGUGUGAGGGCUCACCAAGACCUCUGCAGGUCUGCUGUGGAUCCUGCAGCUCUUCUAAGCUGUGAUGAUUUGAAUCCGUGAAUCUGGCUAAUUUGUCCACAUCUGAGUGUCGCUCCAUUGGAUUAGGAUCUACCGAAUUUAGAGACUCAAACAACACCUCAGGCUUAUGUUCCUCAAAGCAGACCAGUUUGCGUGACAUUGCACUUUAUCCUGCUUAGAGAUGCCACUGUGUUUAGGGAGGACUGAAGGGGGUUACAGGAACAUGAAAGCAUCUCCAAAAACACUGGGAGCAAUUUCUUAAAUGGAGAUGUCUGUGACACAUGGAAGAAAUUAUGGAACAGGCGUUUUACUUUUUAAAGGUUUUCUUUUAUGUGGUGUUUUGUUCAACUCUAAAGCAUUUUCAAAAUUGAGAUUUCUUUCUAUGUUAAAAACAAGAUUCUUAGUUUGAGUUCAUUAAAAAUUGAGGGGAAACACUUUCUUUUUUUUAAAUAUCUUUUUAUUUUUGGCUCUGGUGGUCUUUAUUUACAGUAAUCUGACAGGAUGAGAACGGGUAAAAGUCAUGUGGCAAAGCAUCCAAGGAUGGAAUUCAAACUCAGGAUGGCGAGGUCUGUGGCUUCUGUAUGCUGGCCGCUUUAUCCGCUGCUCCACGCGGCGCCUGGGGAAGCACUUUUUAACAUCCCGUAAAACCAAGAUGCUCUACUGAACUGCAGCAGUUUGUUUCAUUUGUGACACAGAAUAAUAGCAGGAAAUGUUGACCUCGAGCUAUUGACAUGUUGCAUAUUUUCCAUUCACACCAUAAUAAUCGAAGGGUUAUAAUAAAUAUGGUUAAAAUAGAAUUUAAAUAGAAAACCUGGAAAUUGAGAAGUAAUAAAACUGUUUUAAUUAGGCCCUAUUUGAAGUGCUUAUAUGGAAACGGAAAACUGCAGUUAGCGAUUAAUCGAUUACUAAAGUAGUUGACAAGUAUUUCACGAUUAAUCACGAUGAAACCGAUUAAUCGUUUCAGCCCUAACUGAAAAAAAAGGGAAAGGGCCAGCAUGGGGUUCCUGGCUGGUUUGCUGUGCCAUAUGCCGUAAAUUGAAUUUAACCACAUCAUCUAAACAGCUUUUUGUUAAUGUCAGCAUACACUUUCUAAGAACUCUGAGUUACUGCAGUUCAGGGCUUGGCGUUCUUUUCCUGUGUGCAUUAUCGAGUCUUCACUGCCCAUACCCUGUUGUUAGUUCAGCGGUUUAGCUUUUAUUAGGUCCUGACCACUGCACACCACGAAGAUCACACAAGAGCUCUUGCUGAGGUCAUACUUGCUGCAAUAUUUCUAUUUGUCGGUUUUCUACAUCAGCUUUAAAAAAUGUUUUUUGUUACCUAAGAUGUCCUGCUUGAUGCUGGGGGUUGCCCCAAAGGCUGAGUUCUGGUUAUGAUCCCUUAGCAGGGUUUUAAGAUGCAGUUGGUGCUUUGAAUGCAUGCAAAGCUGUUGUGCAACAUACUCGACAUGUUUCUAUUUACUGAUCAGCAUGUUUUUCAGAUCAGCUCAACUCUAGAAGAGCCUUAAGUCGUUUGCAGCAGGUAUCAUAGUACUGCAUCACACUGCUUCCACAAUCACCCUGUACAGUUAAUUUCAUUAUUGGUUAUUUAUUAUUGUAAAUAGAUCAGGAGCAUAAAAUUAAUGGGUUGAAUUCCAUCCCUUGUUCCAUGUUGGGAACAUUCCGGUAAUUGCAAGGCAUAGCUAACCUCUGCGUGGAACCAAAGAAUGAUCUGAAAAGAGCUAUGGUGUUCGUAAAAGUAUAAAUGAUAAUUGUAGGCUAAGAAAUUGUAAGUAUUUGCAUGUUGUUUUGCUGAGUCGUUACCAGCUUAUUAUUUUCAGAAUAUAAACAAGACCAAAACACACAUUGUGUUUUUGUUUAAGCUCUUACAUCGUUGUUGAUUCAUGGGCCUGAUGGCUUUUUGUGUUAUUGGCAGGUCAAAUUGACCCCACUGUUGCAGUGUACAAACCUCCAUCGUUUCCCCAGUUUCAUUCUCUCUGCACUAAAUAUUAAUUUUUAUUCUUUUCUAAAUAUUGAAGAAAAAUGAUAAUACAAACUGUUGGAUUUUAAACUCUGUCACCCUAAAUGUUUAAUUUUAUCAUCUUAAUCUACACUGAAAGCAUAUAUUAAUGAGGGAUAGUAACAAUAAACUCAAGGCAUUCAUUGCUGGAAUAAAAUAAUCCCCAAUAUCUUCAUUUUUCUUAUUUGGGCUGAAGCAUUUUGGUAAACUCUUAGCCUAAAUGUUUUGCAGUUGGCUGGUAUUUGUGUAAGUUCUUUUCUGAAAGACAAACCCAAAAUGGUAUUAGAAAAACACCAGAAGAUUAGAGGCUUCUCUGCUUCAAAACGCUUCAUUCCGAGUCCAUGAAACCAGGGCAUGCCUCGCUCAUUGAUGUUCUAAAAUUCAAAUUAGACAUUAGAGCAGAUGGAUGUGUUAUUUUUCCACAAUAAGAUGGAUGAAUCUUUCUUAAUAGCAGCUUAUAUUCACACAGCAUCAAAUGUCUUUGCCUGCCAUCCAUUACUUUCCCCCAUAACUGUGUUGACCAAUGCGCUGAACCCAGCAGAGACCACCGCACACACGUCAUUUAGGCUCUUAAAAGACUUUGAAUGUCACUUUUACGCUAUGGGAUUGCUUAAAGGCAAAAAAUGUUA